AAAUUGAGUAAUGUAAUAACCAGCACUGAGUCUCAAGUAUGCUUUAGGUUGUUGUAUAUUUGUAAUUUUAUAAGAAUUGUAACUAACAGUUUUCAGUUGCAUUAUUCAUUGAACUGUCUUGAAAGAACCACCAAUAUGCUAAAUAGUUUUUUUCUCCCUUGUCCUCAGAUCAUUGUAAUGUAUUUACAAGUCUUAGAAUGUGAACGUAACCAAACCCUGGUUCAGACUGCCUGGUAAGUUCCUUUUUUACAUUUCUUCUUUAGUCAGGAAAACAGAAGCAGAAAUAAAGUAAGUUUCAUUUUUCUCUUUCCAAAAUAAUGAAAUAAGUUUGUUUUUGGGGUAUUUUGUGGUUUUUUGUUUGUUUGUUUUUGUUUUUUAACCAAAAGGUACAUAAUGCUUAUUUCUGCUUCCUGUUUUCUUGGCUUGACUAACUACUUUUAAUGGAGAACUCAAUUUAACUUUGUUCUUUUUUCUACUCUUUAAUUAAAGGGUAGUCCAUGAUGGUAAGUCAUAGAACUCUGCCCUCUGCACUUCAGCCCAUGACCUCAGGAUGGCCUGAUUGGCUAGCCUGCUCUCCAGCCAAUCCAGUGCAAGCUCUCAUCCGAGAUUCACUGAAGUGGUCCAUAUCCAUCUGGCAGCAUCUUCUAGUUCUGUCGGGGUGUCAAAAGGAUUUGUAUAUUUGCUUCUAGAAGUAACUAUGCAUCAUGCCUAUGUAUUAUUCAAUGUAUACCUGUAACUAUCAAAAUGAAUAUUUCAUUUUUGAUAGAUUGUUGUCCAGCUAUUAUGAAUUGUUUUUGUUUUUUGUUUUUUGUUUUUUUUUUUAAUUGGGUUCAAUUAAAUUUCUACUUUGCAGUGUGUAUGGCAUCCUUUCUAC
rnacentral:lncRNA from 1 species